GCUUUCGUAGAUCAAAGAUAGAUCACUUCCGAUUCAUAAUUGAGAUCUUGAAGGGUUCCGUGUGAGAGAUGUGGGUUCGAAUCCCACCGAAGGCA